UGCAGCACCGGGUUAGCAAUAAAACCGUGUUUUCUUUAGAAAAACAGCAAAAAUGAUCCAGAACAUGGUCACAUGUCAGUAAUGUUGAAUCCCAAAAUAGAAAUGGUACAUUCCAGUGUCCAAACUGGUUGCAUAACUUCUGCAUUUUCACACAUUUUGCUUCUACAAAGUUAGCCUGCAUAUACACCGAUCAGCCAUAACAUUAAAACCACCUGCUUAAAGGUUGUCUAAGUCUCUCUUGUGCUGCAAAAAACAGCUCUGACUCUCCAAGGCCUGAACUCCACAAGUCCUCUGAAGGUGUGCUGUGGUUUCUGUCACCAAGACACCAAUAGUGACUCCUUUAUGUUCUGCAAGUGGUGAGGUGAAGCCUCAGUGGAUCAGACUUGAGUGUCCAGUAUAUCCCACAGACACUCAGACUGAGAUCUGGGGAAUCUGGAGGCCAAGUCAACACCGUGAACGGUCAUGUUCCUCAAACCGUUCCUGAACGAUUUCUGCAGAGUGGCAGUGCACAUCAUCCUGCUGAAAGAGGACAUUAGCCACCAUACACUUUUUCAGCAGUAGCUCUUCUGGAGGAUGCGAGCAGACAGGCUAGCCUUCGCUCCACAUACACAUCAGUGAGUCUUGGGUGUCCAUGACCGUGUCCAUGGUUCAGCGGUUGUCUUUCAUUGGAGCACUUUUGACACAUCUGAAAACCCUUGGCCUUGUGAAUCUCGUACACACAAAAUGCAUGUGGAGUUUGGACUUUUAAAGUAUGGACUUCGCAGUGACGAUGUGAUUAACAGGAUUAUCAAGGCUAGGAUUCUUGCCAUUCCUUGGCUAAUAUCAGUUAUGCAGGUAAGUUAAAGAUUCCUGGAAAAAAGCUUCCUACAGGUUACACAAAAACCACACAAC